CUUCUCCUGCCUCCCUUGGCCUCAGCCAUGGCGAGUAGCCGUGGCAGCGAAUCCAAAUGCGGUGCGGGAGACCAUGGACUUCUGCUUGAGAUUUCAAGAAUUUAGAAUGCUGGCUUAGAUAUGGAAACUCCUAUUUGUGUACGGCUUUGUGAACAAGAAAUUAACCCAGAAGCUUUAUCAUCAGUUAUUAAGGAGCUUCGCAAGGCUACUGAAGCACUAAAGGCUGCUGAAAAUAUGACAAGCUGA
rnacentral:lncRNA from 1 species